AUUUUUUAGCUCUUAAUCUUUUUAAAAAUUUUGUUUAGUUCGCUUUCCAAACUUAAUUUUAAUCGGUUGACGUCAUUUUGUGUGUGUGAGUGUGAUGGAGAUUAUAUAGAUUGCUUAUGCUUUUUGUAUUUCUCUAUUUUUGAGAAUGGAUGGAGUAUAUAAUUCUAUAAUGCUAUGAUGAUGAAUUUCUCUCAGAGCAAAUUCAAUCGGGCACAGGAAAUUCAACCCGUAUCUUAGUAGGGCAACACCUGAUGGUAUGUGAUAAGAUAUGUAUCUCUCGUAUGUAUUUGGGGGUUGCAUCCAUGACCGAAUUGGAUCCCCUGUUUGAUCUUACACAGAUCUAAGCCUCAAGAUAUUUCUUUUAACAUUUAUUUAUAGUUAUGUAUAUGUAUUAUGUUUUUGGUUAUUGGGGCUAGAUGUCAUUGAUUCAAAACCAUUCUUUUCUUUUUAGUAGAUUGAAAGAGAGGAGGAUUUGGAGUGAAAUUGAAGAUUUGGAAAUUAAGAUUUAUACACUACAGGGUCAUUAAGAACUUUCGUCUGGCGGAGGAGAAAUAGAAUGGAGGACUAAGAUGAGAGAGAGAGAGAGAGAGAAAAG
rnacentral:lncRNA from 1 species